GCAUCUGUAUGCUAUGGUCGAACUGUCUCAUGAACAACUGAAGCUAUGUUGGGAUGCCAUUGAUGUUAUAAUGAUUUUGCCCCUUCAUACUACCUAGAAGACAGUUCUCACUAUCAAUGACCUUUAUUUGAGAAGCAAGCAUCCACUUAAGCCAAAAUGAUGCAUCACAGCAUUUGGGAGUCUAUGUAUGCAAAAAUUCUUCUUUAUCGUCGCCAACACUUAGCACCUAUUACAAAUACCUAUGCACUGUUUUCCAAUUGCUUUGAAAUGUUUAUGAGCCAAUGUUAGAUCUCAUGCCCGUUAGGAUGGGUCGAUUUACCCAUUGCAAAAAGAAGGAAAAAAAAAUUGUAUAGUUGUGAACAUUGGUUGCUUGCUUCAAGGUGCGUGCACAGGUCCUGUUUUCAUUAUUAACAGUAUAAUGAUUUUGGGCUCUAGGCAUUCUCAGUCAGCGAGUCUGUACUUAUUCCUUCUUGUUUUUGGACUUAAGGAUCCUCUGAUCUUUCACUCAAGAACUCAUGGGAUGUCUGAAUUUGACCUAAAGACUGAAGAUGUACUUAUUUUGUAUACUUCAGAGUAACACUUUGUAAUUUUUUUUUUUUUUUUAAUAUAAGGUUAUAGCAUAAAAUAUUAAUAUAAUAAAA
rnacentral:misc_RNA from 1 species